CGCCUCAUUUCCCCCCUUUUUCCAUUUAAAAUUAUAAAAAAAUAAUGUCAAACAAGUCCCCUAUUUUCUCCAUUGCAGAAUCUCAACAUUUUAAUGAUGACGACUAUGGCUUCGACGCUCAAAUCGAUUAUUUCCAGAUUUUGAAAGAACCAAUGAAGAAUAAAAAACAUAGCCACGGAAAAAAUGGUGGAAAAAUGCUCUGUUCUUCAUAAAGUGGAAAAAUACCAACGCCGGUGAUCUCAACUCCGGCAGCUUCCACCGCCGGCGUACUGUUUCCGGCCGAACAACUUAUGGGCCUGUGUAUAUUACUGAGAGUAGAACUGGGUCGAGCUCUCCUUGCCGGAAAACUCGCCGGCGUUCCUCCGGCCGACUCGCCGUAAUUAUGAUUCCGAGCAAGAAAAGUGAGUUGGAGAUACCAUAUAUUAAUCUUAAGGAAUUCAAAGUGGAUCGAAUUUCGAGAAUUUCAGCUGCUCCGAUUUACUUGAUCACCCGAAAAACUAAUUUAGAUUUGUAUGGAAAAAUUUUACUUUUUUUAUUAUAUCAAAAAUUUAUCUUCAAUAA